rnacentral:rRNA from 1 species
AGUGAACGCUGGCGGCGUGCUUAACACAUGCAAGUCGAACGAGAACGGAAUAUAGCUUGCUAUAUUUGUCAGCUAAGUGGCGCACGGGUGAGUAAUGUAUAGAUAACCUGCCCUUAAGAAAGGAAUAACAGUUGGAAACGACUGCUAAUGCCCUAUAUGCCUUUAAUACAUAAGUAUGCAAGGGAAACGCUUUAGUGCUUAAGGAUGGGUCUGUAUGGUAUCAGCUUGUUGGUGAGGUAAUGGCUCACCAAGGCUAUGACGCCUAACUGGUUUGAGAGGAUGAUCAGUCACACUGGAACUGAGACACGGUCCAGACUCCUACGGGAGGCAGCAGUGGGGAAUAUUGCGCAAUGGGCGAAAGCCUGACGCAGCAACGCCGCGUGGGUGAUGAAGGCCUUCGGGUCGUAAAGCCCUGUCAGAUGGGAAGAAACCUGCGUAAGCAGCUGACGGUACCAUCGAAGGAAGCACCGGCUAACUCCGUGCCAGCCGCCGCUGUAACAC